CAAACGGGUGCGGAACACGUACGCAACCUUCCCUUAACUGGAGAAUAGCCCCUCGAAAGAGGGAUUAAUACUCCGUAACAUAUUGAUAAGGCAUCUUAUUAAUAUUAUAGCUCCGGCGGUUAAAGAUGGGCGUGCGCCUGAUUAGAUAGUUGGCGGGGUAACGGCCCACCAAGUCUGCGAUCAGUAACUGGUGUGAGAGCACGACCAGUCACACGGGCACUGAGACACGGGCCCG
rnacentral:rRNA from 1 species